rnacentral:rRNA from 1 species
UACGGGGGGUGCGAGCGUUGUCCGGAAUCACUGGGCGUAAAGGGCGCGUAGGUGGUUUGAUAAGGGUGUGGUGAAAGCCCGGGGCUCAACCCCGGGUCUGCCGUUCCGACUGUUAAACUCGAGGGCUGUAGAGGCAGACGGAAUUCCGGGUGUAGCGGUGGAAUGCGUAGAGAUCCGGAGGAACCCCAGAGGCGAAGGCGGCCCCCUGGCUCGUACCUGACGCUCAGCCACGAAAGCAUGGGGAGCGAACGGG